GGAAGAUCUCAAAGAGAAGGAAGUAGGUCUCUCCUCUAUCUGUCGCUCCGCAAAAAGGGGACCCUGGGCUACAAAAAGCCCUCCUUUCAAGCCAAACAGGGGGGCAGGCUUCCCUUAAGCCCUCAAAGAGAGGAAAACAGGCCUUUCUCGCAACUUAAAAAGAGGAAUCUGCAAAAAGAGCCAAAAAAGGGGAGCAGAGCGAGAAGGAGGUUUUUCUCGCCCUGUAAAAAGGGGAGCCUUUCCAACCAAACCGGGGGGGGGGGGAGUUUUCCCACGACCUCUCAAAGAGAAGGAAGUGGGUCCCUUCUCUCUCGUCCUGCAAAAAAGUCCCCCCUUUCCAGCCAAACAAGGGGGGGCAGGGUUUCUUCAACUCCUCAAAGAGAAGGAAAUCGGCCUCCUCUCUCGCCCUGCAAAAAAAAAAAAAAAAAAGGGAACCCUGUCUUACCAAAAGCCUCUCUUUCCAGGCAAACAGGGGGCCAGGCUUCCCUCAAAGAGAAAGAAGUAGGUUUCUCCUCUCUCACCUCUGCAAAAAAGGGGACCCCUAGCCUUUCAACUAAAGCAGGAGGCCUCUGUCAACCCAUAAUAAUAGAGAAGCUACUAAUAAAGAAUAGAAGGGAGGAAGCAAAAAUAGGGGAACCCUACCAAAAAGGUCACAGAAAGAACUCUACCCAACAACAACAACAACACAAAGUAACACCUACAGGGAAUACAGGGGAGCAGGUUUCCCCAAUCCUACACGACAAGGGAAGACACUCCCAAAAAAUAAGAGGGAUCUCCCCACACAACAAAAACGAUCCUUACCCUACAAUCAAAGGACUGGGUUCACAAAAAAGGACCACUUCUCCCAAAAAAGGACCCACCCACCUUAAAAGGGGCUCUAACCCAAUCGAAAGGACUUCUCACACAAAAAGGGAUUGUUCUAUGAAAAGGGAUUGUCCCUACUCCACGAAUAGGAAGCAACCCUCUCCCCGGCCAACUGGGCCCUGCUCUUCUCCAGCGUCUCUGUCUUCGGCCUUUUCUCCUUCCGAGGAGGGUGUCCAAACUGGCCCUGUUUGGCGAAGUCUGUCCCGGUUACAGCGCGGCGGCUCCCAUCCUUGGCUCCUCAGAGUCGGGGGGCCACCACUCGGCCGCAAAUCUCCGAAGGGAAAGAGGGCCCCAAAAGCUGGGACCAAAGCAAAACGCAAGAGGAGUUCACCGCUGUGGCUUUUCCGCCUCGGGACGGCGCCGGGCAGUGGGCGAGCUCCUCAGCCCCAUCUCCAUGUAGAGCCACAUCUUUAG
rnacentral:lncRNA from 1 species